rnacentral:rRNA from 1 species
UACCAGCACCCCGAGUGGUCGGGACGUUUAUUGGGCCUAAAGCGUCCGUAGCCGGUUCUACAAAUCUUCCGUUAAAUCCACCUGCUUAACAGAUGGGCUGCGGAAGAUACUAUAGAGCUAGGAGGCGGGAGAGGCAAGCGGUACUCGAUGGGUAGGGGUAAAAUCCGUUGAUCCAUUGAAGACCACCAGUGGCGAAGGCGGCUUGCCAGAACGCGCUCGACGGUGAGGGAUGAAAGCUGGGGGAGCAAACCGG